AUUCCUCUGAGCGAGAUGGAACAUGUAAGUUUUUGUAGGGCCCAUUUGAAGUGUGUUAACACAUUGCCCUUGAUCUUUGGGAAAGGCACUCAGCUGAGAGUUGAACCACAAAAUCCAGAGCAUUCCCCUCCAUCUGUCUUUGUUGUGAAAUCGGAAAAGCCAAAACCAAGCGAUGGCAACAAGUUGACGGCGGCUUGUUUAGUUAAGGAUUUCUACCCCAAGAAUGUACAAGUAAGCAUGAGUCAAGAGAAAGACCUUGUCUACAAAUCGAAAGAAGGAAUUCUCUCUUCGAAUGGGAAGUACAGCAUGAUCCAGGUGGUCAAGGUAGAACCCAAUGAAGAAGUGGACUGCUAUGUUACACAUGAGGGAAAAACCUAUAAUCAAACAAAGGCUCAAUCAGCUCUCACCCCGGCCCCAAUCAAUAACACUCAAGUGUGUGAAUCUUCAAAUUCCACGGUCGAAGAGCCAAACAUGGAAAAAGUGAACAUGCUGUCAGUGACUGUGCUGGGCCUGCGAGUUCUGCUUGCCAAAAGCAUCGCCUUCAACAUGCUCAUGACGGUCAAGUUGUUCAUUUUCUGAGGUUGUGACAAGUGAACCAGCAACGGGCAGAAAACAGGAGACAGGGACCAGUGCCAGUGACUUCAGUUGGGACAGAUUCACAACUGGUGUAAAUCAGUAUUACGCUAUUGAAGUGAGUUGGAACAAAUCCCCAACUGGUGUAAAUGGACUGUAGCACCUUUGGAGUCAGUGGGCCACAUCCCAACUGCUGUCAAUCGGCGACUUCAAUAUGUCUAGA